UUCGUACGCUCACCGUGCGUCGGUUCCUGGUGCCUACGGGCGCCUACGGUAACGCGUACUCCCAUUCUUCUCCCAUAUUUACCAGAUAAUCUGGUACCUAACAGUAGGCUGAUUAUCUAGAAGUAGAUUGUACGUUAUCAAAAGAAAUACGGAAGACAGCGCGUAACUCAGAAUUACGAAAAGUCAAACACAACCUCAAAUAAAAUCCUUCGUAGUUCAAUGCAACCAAUUUUUUCAUAAAUUAAUAAAGGAGUGAAUAUAAUGGUCAACAGUUGAUAACAAUACAGUCACAGGCUCAAAAACAUCUCGAAAAAUCAAGAGGUAGGCGGAGCCCGUUUUUGAGGAUUGAAACUUGGAAACAUGGAAGCUUGCAGCGAGCUUAAACAAAAUUAUGAUGCUUGUUUCAAUUAUUGGUUCUCUGAAAGAUUUCUCAAAGGUGAUCAUAAUGAUUCUAUAUGCUCUUCGUUGCUCAAAGUUUACAAAGAAUGCGUUCAGAAAGCCAUAAAAGAACAAAACAUAGAAAUAAAGGAGGUCGAGGUCAAUCACCUAGGUACAGAAAAGGAAAAAGGCCCAGAGAGCUGACCUGCUAUGGACAAUGAAAAAGCUACUGUAAAUACAAAAACAAAUUUUCGGAUGGAUCUUCGAUUGUUCUGUCUGGCCCUGAGAAAAUCGAUUUAUUUUUCGCAAUGGGCUGUUUUCUUCUGAUCACCUUAAAGCAAGCUGGCAGAGUUCAUUUCCCAGAGUUUCCACGUUGAGAAAUAAAGUGGUGGAAAACUACAAUUUUUAGAUUUGAAUAUGAAAAUUUUAUUUUUAGACUCAAACGCGAACGUAUUCUCUAGAUAUUUUUUUCAACUCGCGAUUUUUAGUAUUCAUCAAAUUCCUGUUAUCUCGAAUUAUAUUGAAUUUCAAAUAUUUCCAAUAAACUGUGCACGUAUUGCCUCAAAAUAGUCGCUGAGAGUGACAGGUCUAAGUGAAGGUCAUAUUAAACAUGCCAAUUUUUUGGUUUGCACUUUCGUUUUAUAGAAAUAUUACAACUGUUUCAUCAUGUGAAAUUCGUAAGUGCAAAUGUUGUAAAAUAAUCGAUGCUGUUGAAAUAAAAGUAUCUUAAGAAAAUAAA